rnacentral:rRNA from 1 species
GACGAACGCUGGCGGCGUGCUUAACACAUGCAAGUCGAACGGAAAGGCCCUGCUUUUGUGGGGUGCUCGAGUGGCGAACGGGUGAGUAACACGUGAGUAACCUGCCCUUGACUUUGGGAUAACUUCAGGAAACUGGGGCUAAUACCGGAUAGGAGCUCCUGCUGCAUGGUGGGGGUUGGAACGUUUCGGCGGUUGGGGAUGGACUCGCGGCUUAUCAGCUUGUUGGUGGGGUAGUGGCUUACCAAGGCUUUGACGGGUAGCCGGCCUGAGAGGGUGACCGGCCACCUUGGGACUGAGAUACGGCCCAGACUCCUACGGGAGGCAGCAGUGGGGAAUAUUGCACAAUGGGCGGAAGCCUGAUGCAGCAACGCCGCGUGCGGGAUGACGGCCUUCGGGUUGUAAACCGCUUUCGCCUGUGACGAAGCGUGAGUGACGGUAAUGGGUAAAGAAGCACCGGCUAACUACGUG